GCUUAAGUAAAAAAGAAGGAAAAUAAAAAAGGAUGGGGGCUUAGCAUUCCCAAACCUAAAAGUAUAAUAUAAGCAGCAGUUCUCAAAACCAUUUGCUCUUAGCUAACAGAGUGGUGGAUCAGAGGAAUAGAUUCCAGUGAUCAAGGCCUAUAGUUAUGUAGUAUUUGACAAAGCCCCAAACUCCAGCUUCUGGUAUAAAAACUCGCUAUUUGAUAAUAAAUCUCAGGGAAAAGUGGAAAAUCACUCAGAAACUCGGCUUCGACCCAUGGGGUGUGCAUCUCACACCCCAUGCCAAAAUCUGGUCACAAUGGAAAAGAUCUCCACUGAAACCAGAAGUGGUUUGAGAGCCCUGCCCUGGGGCCUCUGAGAAAAGUCUCGGGGGAGGGGUGGUCCUCAGCACCAUCAGGCUUUCCUUGGGUACAUAUAUUGUCCAGGCUGACAAACCGGCCUAAGGAUUGCUGCCAGCUUGUGUCCAGGGAGGACGCAGGUUGGACACAGGGAGUGGAGGCUGUUCUUUCCCGAGGGAGCAGCUUGUUGCACGUCAAAGAGAACUGGAUGCUGGCUUGCCUGUGGGAGUGGAACUUGGCCAGAGGGAGUUGAAAGCCCCCAGAGGGGGGAAAGAUGAUGUGCCCUCUCCUCAUUUAGCAUGGGGCUGUCCCUGGGAACUCUGAAAAGGUGUCUAAGAGUCAGGGAGCUUGGAGAGCAGGGCUGUCAUGCCUAAGGCUUUCCCCACAGCUGGGUCUGGGGAAAUUGUGGUCCUAUGGCUACUUUGUGCACCUUCUUCAAAAUGUCUGGAGCAGCUGAAUAAUCACACACAUGUUGAGGACAGGAAUCCUAUCAAGAAAAGGGGGGUUCAGACUUGGCCCCACUCUUCUGUGGCAGAAGCCUCUCCCCACAGGCCAAGGUUUCCCCAGCCAACGAGUUUUGCCCUUAUGGGAAAAGGGUCCCCCAAACUCCAGGGCAAACAGUCCAACUGAAUGUGAUCACUGUACAGAGAUGGCUCCCGUGAAAACCACAAGCCAGUGCCCACAGGCCUCUGCGCUCCUCUUCUCCAGGCCAUCUCCCAGCAUUUCCCCUCAUAACUUGAGGGAAUAGAUAGAUGUUGGCUAUGCCAAAGAGCAUUUACCUCCCCUGCAAGGCCAGGCCAAAAGGGGAGCCACCCCUGCCCUCUCUAUCUCCCCUUACCCAAUUUGGAGCCCCUGCCUGCCAUAGGCUUUAGAGAGUACACCACAGCCCCAGGCCCAAGAGGCUCUCGACCUUCUCCCACAGCCCUUAGACUAAUUACCAAAUUUAGCCUCUGAAUUAUCUCAUAUUAGUAAUAGCAGUAUCCACAAGUAUUGGGAGUGCAACAAAUGACCAGCAGAAGAUAAUGUCAAAGAUUGCCAAAAAAGGUAUGUUUUCUGAGGCAUGGAAGUAGAUGGGCCAAGUGCAAGCAGGCUGAGCACAGACACCAGUGCAGGCAGCACAGCCAAGGCAGUGUGGACCCCGAGCUGUGAAGAAUUUACAGGGAGGAGUCUACAGAAGUAGUGUUGGAUAGUCUGCCCUGGCUGCAAGCCCAGUACUUCAGCAGAAAAUUAGGAAAAAAAUUCCUCACCAAAAGUAAAUAGUUAACCUGCAAAUGCCAGAAUCUCAGGGGACAUGGCCACGCCCACCCAGCACCCAGCAGUCAGAAAAUACUGAUCCCAUGCAGCUGCUGCUACUUUCAGAUGAACUUUGGACAACCUCCCUUACCACUAAAACAGAUCUCAACUUUUAAAAAAAUGAAUAAAAAAGCAGUAAGAACUCUGAUUGUAAAUAGUUUUUAUAGUAAAAGAGAACCAUUUUUAAACCCUGAGACUAAACACAGAUCAUCUCCAGAUGAAGCCCAAAAGGUGGCAUAAAUUGGCCCCAUCACACAAGACUCUCCUAGAAGAAAUUAUAAAAGAUCUUAAAAGACAGAAAAGAAAAAUGGGGAAAGGAAAUGAAAACUUUGCCAAGAGGUUUUGGAAAUGGCAACACAAAAUAGUCUUAAGUGAAAUGGACAAAGCAUAUAACUAAUUAAAAGAGUUAUUUGACAAAAUAGAAAAAGGAAACAACUCCCUGAAAAAUUUGUGAAACAAAUUUGUGAAAUAGAAAAACAAAACUUCUUAACAGAAUUUAUGAAAUGGAAAAAAAUUCCAUAGAACAAAACUCAUUCAAAAAUUCAAUUGGAUAAAUGCAAAUAAGUAAAAGUAAAUGAAAAAAAAAUCACUAAAAUAAGAACUGAACAAAUGGAAAUGAAUGACUCAAUGAGACCAAUGAGUCAAGCAAAAUCAAAAAAGAAAAAAUAGGAAAAAAUGUAAAAUACCUAAUUGGGAAAACUGACCUGAAAAAUAGACCUAAAAGAGGCACUAAAAGGGACUUCCCUGAAAACCAUGAUGAAAAGAGCCUAGACACUAUUUUUCAAGAAAUCAUCAAAGAGAACUGCAUGGAUGUUAUUUAAAUCAGAAGAUAAAAUAGCCAUUGAAUGAAUUCAUCAAACAUCUCCUGAGACCCCAAAAUGAAAACUCUUAAGAAAUCUUGUGGCUAAAUUUUAGAAUUAUCGGAACAAGAAAAAAAUUACAAGCAGCCAGAAAAACACAAUUCAAAUACCAAAGAGCCACAAUAAGUAUUAUCCAGGACUUGGCACAGCUUUUACCUUAAAGGAUUAAAGAGUCUGGAAUCUGAUAUUCUGAAAGGCAAAGGAACUUGGAAUGCAACAAAGAAUAAAUUACCCUGCUAAACUGAGCAUUUUCUUUCAGGGAAGAAGAUGGACAUUCAGUGAAAGAGGCGAAUUCCAUUUAUUACUAAUGAAAAGACCAGAGCUAAACAAAAAAUUUGACCUCCAAAUACAGAACUCAAGAGAAGCAUAAAAAGGUAAAAACACUUGAGAACUAUAUUUCUGUUAAUGGGUAUACAUAGAGAGUGCAUGUACAAUUUGAUUUUACUGUUACAAUAUAAAAAACAAAAGGUAGAAAGGGAUUGUACUGGAAAAGGGGGAAGUGGAGGUAAAAUGAGGGAAAUUACAUCUCAGGAAGAGGCAAAGAAAGCUUGUUAUAAUUGAGGGAAAGGAGUGGGAUAAACAUUGUGUGAAUGUUACUCUCAUCAGAUUUGGCCCAAAGAGAAAAUAUUAAACAAAUUUGAUUACCGAGAAACUUCUCACACCUUAUAGAAAAGUGGGAGGGGAAAGACAAAAAGGGAAGGGAUAGGCUAAAUAGAAGGGGA
rnacentral:lncRNA from 1 species